rnacentral:lncRNA from 1 species
CACGGCUCCGGCCAGAAGCCACCCAUGCCCGCGCUCAUGUCUUCCGCUGUCCCGAUUGCGCGCAGAUCAGGGUAGCCGGGGUCUCUCUCUCCGAGUGGCGCGGCUCCGCGACUCUGCAACGGCCCAGGAGGCUGGCCAGGCCGUGGCGCCGCCUGGGUGUCACCGAGGGCCGAGUCUCAAAGUUCCCGGACUCGCCUCCCCCGGUACCCCCCCUCCCCCCGCCCCCCGCUCAUCCACGCGCACCGCCCCGCUCGGCCAUCGCCUCCCGCCUGGCGCUUCUGGAACGCGGCGCGGCUCCCCCCACCCCCACCCCACCUCGACCCCACCCCCAGCCCUCAGUCGCCGCCCGGGGGUAGGAAGGAAAAAGGGCUAGAGCCGAGGGGGAAGGGGCUGGGAUUUCCCCGGCUGGAUCCGCUAAAGGCCCAAGAGAAGGGGAUUUCAGUUUUGAGCUGGAAGUGAGUCGCUUGCGUCUGGCAUCCCUUAGUCCGCGCCCCCGGCCGGAGAGACCGCGCUGGCCCUCGAGGAGGUUUGGGACUGUGCCCGCUGCCCUUGGGCCCUGGCGACCACUUAGAAAUCCCCACGCGCCUCCCGCACCCCCCGCCCCUGUCCAUCCGGCGGGGUGCCUGCGGGUCGCGCUGCCCUCCGCCCGCCUGGUCUACGCCGCGCUCCCUCCCGCGCUUGCUGGGCACCCAGGCCAGUCCCAGGGGCUCGAAAGCCAGGGACCCGAAUGGGACCCUCCAGAAGCCCUAAUGGGGCAAGCCUUCCAGAAGACAGAAGACGUGUGA